CUACGUGCCAGCAGCCGCGGUAAUACGUAGGUGGCAAGCGUUGUCCGGAAUUAUUGGGCGUAAAGGGCGCGCAGGCGGCUUCUUAAGUCUGUCUUAAAAGUUCGGGGCUUAACCCCGUGAUGGGAUGGAAACUGCCAAUCUAGAGUAUCGGAGAGGAAAGUGGAAUUCCUAGUGUAGCGGUGAAAUGCGUAGAUAUUAGGAAGAACACCAGUGGCGAAGGCGACUUUCUGGACGAAAACUGACGCUGAGGCGCGAAAGCCAGGGGAGCGAACGGGAUUAGAUACCCCGGUAGUCCUGGCCGUAAACGAUGGGUACUAGGUGUAGGAGGUAUCGACCCCUUCUGUGCCGGAGUUAACGCAAUAAGUACCCCGCCUGGGGAGUACGACCGCAAGGUUGAAACUCAAAGGAAUUGACGGGGGCCCGCACAAGCGGUGGAGUAUGUGGUUUAAUUCGACGCAACGCGAAGAACCUUACCAGGUCUUGACAUUGAUGGACAGAACUAGAGAUAG
rnacentral:rRNA from 1 species